rnacentral:lncRNA from 1 species
AGCAUGUGAAUGAGCAUUUAAAACUGCUGGAUGAUGAGGUCAGUCCAGCCGUGUUAAAGAGGAAAUCUGAGGAGCACAAUCUUCAAGAGAAAGUACCAGAACAGUUUGAAACCAUUGAGCUGCUGAUAUUAGAGGAUUCAGACUCCCAGAAGACAGAGCUGAACAAUUCUGAACCCAUAGGACCAAGAGCUGCACUGAGAAAAGAAACAAAAACGAGCAAAACUGAGCCUACAGAACCAAAGACUAUAAAUGAUAGAAAAUCUAAAGAGAAUAAGCUUGGUCAUGAUGUUUACAGUAGGCAUAGAAAGCAAACAUUUCACCCGACAGCUCUGAUUGAUGAGAAACCAGAAGGGGAACAUAUUUGUACAAAUCAGAUGAACAAGAACCUGCCAGAGGUGAAACCCAAGCUGGACUGUCUGGUUAGGAAGCAACCACAUCAAGCAUCAUCCAGAAUUCCUAUUCAAGCGAGAGGAGGGUUAACUAAGUUACCCAUCAGCAAAGCAGACACUAGCAGUCGUUCAUUUGGGCUUCGAGCUCCUAAAGCUGGCAUGCAUAGACACCCAUUUGGAAAACCACUGGGGCAGAAUAAGUCUAGCAUUACAUCAUCUCCAACUCCUGAAAAAUUGUCCCCAGGAGGAGUUGCUUCAGUUAGAUCAACACAAAGACCCCCAUGCACAGUCCCUGCACCAAACGGUCCCACCUCUCCCUCAAAACUGCCGCAGGUCCAGCUGAUUGCACCUAAGAUCGGGCAGUCAGACCAGCCAAACGUUUCCAGGAAACGUUCUGCAUCCUUAACAAAGCAUAGUUGCUCUUCUCCUGGAAAGUAAAGAAGCAGGCGACUAAAGGAUCUUCACCAAACAAAUAGAAUAAGGCAUCAAAUUGUUGAAUACUAAUUUCAUGAAUGCAAUGAUGUGCAAUAGAAAGCAAAGGCCACUGGGUUAUUUUAGUAUUUUUACUGAACUUUUAUUGAACCAUGUGAGUUGAUCUCACAUAAAACUAUGCUUUAUUUAUUCUAUUUAGCCAGCAGAAAGUUAAUACAGGAUUAACAUAGGAUUUUCCCAAUACAAAUAAGUUUUUCUAACUGGCGAAUUUCAGGCACAGACUUUUAGAUAAAGCUUUAUGAUUGUCCUUAAAGCUAUAAAUAUGUAAAUCAUUUCAUUUUCUAUUCAGCUCGAUGUAAAUGAUCAAUUAUUGGUCUUAUUAAAUCAUCACAGUUCACCAUUUGCAUAACACAGCUUGUAAAAUUCCAUUUAUUGAAUUAUUAAAAUAGAUCGUCCAGGACAGAGUUCACUUGAUUACAGCUGGAUUUUUCUUUCUUUUUUUAUUAUAUAUAGAUGUUUUACCAUUGUUGCUACUUGUCGGAGCAGCUUCAAACAGAAUUGAACUUGAUCACAUACCACACCUUCUUUUUAAGUUAUUUUUAAGUGGCUUGGGACUGUGUGCGAUCUGGUGGUGUCAUCAG